rnacentral:rRNA from 1 species
GACGAACGCUGGCGGCGUGCUUAACACAUGCAAGUCGAACGGAAAGCCCGGGCCUUUGUGGGUUGGUCGAGUGGCGAACGGGUGAGUAACACGUGAGUAACCUGCCCCUGACUCUGGGAUAACUUCAGGAAACUGCGGCUAAUACCGGAUAUGUGACCCUGCUGCAUGGUGUGGGUUGGAAAAUUUCGGCGGUUGGGGAUGGACUCGCGGCCUAUCAGCUUGUUGGUGGGGUAGUGGCUUACCAAGGCGUUGACGGGUAGCCGGCCUGAGAGGGUGACCGGCCACAUUGGGACUGAGAUACGGCCCAGACUCCUACGGGAGGCAGCAGUGGGGAAUAUUGCACAAUGGGCGGAAGCCUGAUGCAGCAACGCCGCGUGCGGGAUGACGGCCUUCGGGUUGUAAACCGCUUUCGCCUGUGACGAAGCGAGAGUGACGGUAAUGGGUAAAGAAGCACCGGCUAACUACGUG